GAUGAUGUUUGAAAUUAUUAUAAGAGAGUUACAUAGUGUAAUGAUGUGAAGCACAUGAUGAAGAAAGCAAAUAAAUCGAGAACUCACGAUAGUAUGUGUGCAUUGAGAAGAAGAGAAAAAAGAGAAGUGAAGUCACAUUAGAGUGUGCAUAUUGUGGUUCUGAAGUAAAAAAAUAGAAGUAUAUGAAUAUCAACAUCAAAUUUGGUUCGGAUAGUUAUUUUUACCAUCUUGUAUUUUUGUUGUCACCCUUUUUCACUUUUUUCCGUUUUAUUUAUUUAUUUUAUAUUUUUAUUAUUUAUUUAUUUUCUAUUUUUAUUAUUUAUUUUAUUUUAUUUUAUUUUUCUUUUACCCUUUUAUGGCUUUUUACUUAUUUUAUUUUAUUUUCUCUUAUUCUUGUUUUAUUUUUAUUUUUUUUUACUUUACUUUUCUUCUUUUUAAUUUUAAUUUUUAAUUUUUUAAUUUUCGUUUUCAUUUUAAUUUUUAAUAUAAUAUAGCUAUUUAAAAAAACUAUUAUUAAUUUAAAAAAAAUGUGUGAGAAAAUUUUGUCUUUUGUGAAAAAAAAAUGAAAAAAAGGGAAUUGUUUGGAAUGCAACGUCUACUGUUGGAGGAGGAGGGAACAAGAUCUUUUUUUUUUGGCAGACAAGGACGGUGGGGGAAGGACAAUGCAAGUUUGGCGUGGGAUUGGCAGAGGUUUGACAGGAAAACGGUUUAAGUAUUUGGUGUUGAGGAGGCAUUUGGCAAGGGGGAGAGGAUAGUAACAGGGGGGUCUUCAACAAAAGGAAAAGGGAGGAGGGUGAUAACGAGGGAUCAUCGACUACAUUCAACAAAAACAAGGUCAGCCAGAGCAAAGGAGGGGGUGAGGUUUUUUGGAGAUUCGCUUUAGCUGCAUCAACUCUACUGCUGCAACAAGAGAGGCCAAGCAAUAGCAGAGCUUCAAGGUAAGUAACCCCCUCACUCAUUCGCUCUUUCAUAAUGUCAUAAGUUUCUGUAUUAUGGACUAUGCUGGCUACUACGUUUUGUGCUCUGCCUAUGUAUGAUUUCCUUACUCUUCAUUCUCAACGACCACCGGGCAUCAUCAUCAUCAUCUUCCCCACAUCCACUUCUACUGUCCUAUUUCUCUCCUCCAAGAAUUCAUCUACUCAACCAACAGCCUCCCUUUCUUAGGUAAGACCUCAAAUGCCAGCCAUAGACCAUAAUAGACAGUAAACUAUGCCUCCCCCACGCCUUUGUCCAUCGCCAAUCAUCAACAAUGAACUUGAAUCAUUAAAAUGGGUAUUUACCAGAAAAAUAUAUCAGAAAGAAAAAACAACAAAAUAGUAUCUUCAUCGUCACUAGAACCGCUCCAUUCACCCACUGGCACCGCCACCCAUAAUCACCAAACGAAAAAAAAAAAGAAAAGCUCAACCACGCCUCACCCUCUCCUUCCGUUUUCAUCGCCCUCAACCUGCAAGGCACUAAGUCACAGAGAUAGGCACUAAUCACCAAGAACCAAAACUAAUUUUCAUCCUCAAUCACCAUCCUAUUCUCCUCCAACCCAAACCUUACACUACCAAGCUUCAACAAUUCCUCUGUUCCCCACCCAAUUUGCUCUGUUCCUCAGACAGGUCAAAAUACACACACGCACCCUACCAUAACAGAAACCCAAAAUUUCCAAACACACGCACAAGAGCACAAGCACAAAAUCUGAUUUUCCAAAUCAUCGCCGAGCACCCUAUCCCCAUCGGAAUUCAAGUCGAAGAUGGAGGUUGAGAAAGAAGAAGCGGCGUGCCCUGUUCGGAGGCUGUGACCUCGGAGGCGGAGAAGGUGGAGUUGGAGAGGUCGACGGCAGCGUCCGACUUCGCUGGCUAAAGGGGCAUGGGGCGCCGGCGGCCAGUCCCGGCGGAAGCGGUGAGAUCUCAGAGUUUGAAUCGCGCACGCGCGAAGAGAGGGUGGAGACGUCGCCGCUGGUAGUGGCUCCUGGGUGAGGGUCGAUGUUGCCGGCGACGCUAGGGCUGGCCGGAUGGCGCGGUGCCUGUCGGAGGGCAGCGGCGGCCUGAGAUGGUUGUGCGGCGAACCCCAGCCUUAGGUUGGUUCGAGAGAGUGAGACUUCAAGUCUCUGAGAGCUUGGGUUGAGUGUGUGAGCAAUGAGGUGCAGUAGGAGAGAACCCCUGUGGGGUUUCUAAAUUUUGGGGGAGAAGGCGCCUGGGCCAUAGCUGGGCCUGCCUAUACCUAGAACAUCUUUGCUGCAUCCCUUUGUUUCCAUUUUGCCACCCCCAUUCACACUUUCUGUUUUUGUUUUUUUAUUUCCUUUUCUCUCCUGAAUACUGGGCCAGUACUGGGCCCAACCAAAAAAUAACCUUUUCGGGCACCCCCAUUUCUCACAUUUGCACCCCUGCGUCCAUUCCCUGCCUUGGGCUCAGGCCCAUUUUGAUUCUCCUUGAAAAAGAAAAAAUAAUAAAAACCUUUUCCUCCCUACACCCCUAUUUUUACUAAACAUCACACCUCCAUCCAGUUUGGGCUUAAGCCCAGUUUGUUUAUAAUAAUAGUUUUUACAUCCCCUUCCUCCUAGUUAGGCACCUCCACACCUUUACUUAUUAUUUUUGUUUUGUUUUUAUUUAACUUUUUAGUUUAUUUUAUUUCUACCUUUUAUUUUUCAUCCCUAUUUUUCUAUUUCUUAUUUUCAUUUUGAUAAUUAUCUAUUUAUUUUUAUUUCAUCUACUUUUAAAUAAAUAUUAAUAACAAAAAUAUUUUAAAAGGUUUAAGCACACGUGCGACUAUUCGCGUCAGGCUUGUGUUAAACCCUUUUCUUCCUUCUUUCAAAAAUAAAAAAAAUAUUUUAAAAGGUUUUCCUCCUUCUUUCAAAAAUAACAAAAAUAUUUUAAAAGGUUGCGACAAUUCGCGUUAGCCUUGUGUUAAAACCUUUUCCUCCUUCUUUCAAANAGCCUUGUGUUAAAACCUUUUCCUCCUUCUUUCAAAAAUAACAAAAAUAUUUUAAAAGGUUUAAGCACACGUGCGACCAUUCGCGUCAGCCUUGUGUUAAAACCUUUUCCUCCUUCUUUAAAAAAUAACAAAAAUAUUUUAAAAGGUUUAAGCACACGUGCGACCAUUCGCGUCAGCCUUGUGUUAAAACCUUUUCCUCCUUCUUUCAAAAAUAACAAAAAAAGUUAUUUUAAAAAGGUUUAAGCACACGUGCGACCAUUCGCGUCAGCCUUGUGUUAAAACCUUUUCCUUCCUCCUUCUUUCAAAAAUAUAAAAGUUAUUUUAAGAGGUUUAAGUACAUGUGCGACCAUCCGCGUCAGCCUUGUGUUAAAAACCUUUUUCUUCUCCUUUUAAAAAAAAUUAUUAUUUUAAGAGGUUUAAGCACACGUGCGACCAUUCGCGUCAACCUUGUGUUGAAAACCUUUUUUCUUUUUCUUUCCAAAAAUACCAAAAAAUAAAAUAAAAUCUUCAAAAAAAAACCAAAAACAAUCAAUUCUCAAACAUUUCCUAAGCAAUUAGCCAGAACUACGUGAUCCUUGAUUAUCCAUCCAAAAUGGAGAUACGUAGGAGUAAGUUCCCAAAAAUCCAAAUUUUCCAAACAAACUGUCCAAACAAUUCUCCAAACAAAUUUUCCAAAUGGUUUCCCAAAGAACUACGUAACCCUGAUUUCUCAGUUCAACUGAGAAUACGUAGGAGAAAGGUCAAUCCUUGUUGGGCACAAAAAACACAAAAAAUAUUUUAUUUUCUUUAGAGUUUUAAUUUUAAGGGGAAAUUAAACAUUUUGCAAACCACAUUUUUAUUCGCGUAUUUAACUAAAGGUAUUGCCUUAGGGCAAGCGUUGUGGGGUGCUAACACCUUCCCUACACGUAACCGACUUCCGAAACCAGAAUUUGGUGUUUUGUAGACCUUGCCUUAUCAUUUUAUGGUUUUUCCGUAGUUUUCCACAAUAAACUAUGGUGGCGACUCCAAACUUUUUUUUCCAAAUCGUUUUUCUUUUUUGAUCGUCGUCCCGUCGCGAUUUUCCGAUUGCGACAAUGAGCAACGAAUAAAAUUAAGAGUGCUUGGAUUUCAAAGCAAAGUGUGAGUUUUCAUAUGUCUCGCUAAUAUCAAAUUGGUAUCAGAACUUGUUAGACCCAUAAUUGAUUUCGUGAGUUUGUGAGAGAGUUGGUAAAAAAAAAUUGAGGAAGAAGAGAACUCUCACUUCCUCAAAUUCUUAGAGUUUAUUAAAGAUGAUCACAAAUUACAAUAUUGUUUGGUUUGGUCGAAAAUUAAAUGGGAAACUAGAUUAUAAUUAUUGGGCAUUGUUGAUGUCCCCACCCAUUUGAAAGCUUACAAUAUUUGUAGUUUUAUUGAAUCAGGCUUAUAGUAAGGAGUUGAUGAUGCAACUCAAAGGAAAAACCAACUGAAGCUAUCACAAAUUCAUCAAGGUGUAGACUAUUCAAUUUUUUAUAAAAUAGCAAUUGCCAAAAUAACUAAGGAAGCAUGGAACAUUUUGAAGUUAUCAUACAGAGGAGCAGAGAAAGCACAGAAAUUGAUAUUGUAGUUCAUGCGUCGCGAAUAUGAAAAAUAUGAGAUGUCUAAUUCAAAAACCGUGGAAUAAUAUUUUUCACAGGAAACAUACCUUGUUAAUAAGAUGAGGGUAUAUGGAGACGACAUUCCCAAAAACAAGGUGGUGGAAAAAAUUUUAUGCACCAUGCCAAUGAAGUUUGAUCAUGUGGUGACUACCAUAAUUGAGUCCUAUGAGACAAAUACCAUGACAGUUGCAAAAUUGCAAGGUAACAUUGAAAGUCAUGUGAGUAUAUGUUUUUAGAAAAUUGAAAAAGUAAAUGAAGAGGCCUUGAAAAGCUAAGUGAAUUUGACCAACAUGACAAAAUCCAGUCAAAGUGAAGAAAAUAGAGGUCAUGAAGAUGAAAAGAUAAAUUUCAGAAGAGGUAGAGGUCGUGACAACUUUAGAGAAAGAGGUUGUUGUAAUUUCAAUCAAAAAUGGAAAGAAAACCAUUUUAGGCCAUCUAAUUAAGAAAGAGAUGGACACAAUUUUAGACAUAUCAAUGGUUGGAAAGGAAAAUAAGGCUUCAACUACCAAGAAAGGACAAAAUUCAAUUGUUACCAAUGUCGGAAGUUCAAGAAUUGCAUAUUACAAACAUAUAUAAUAGAAAAUCAAUAUCAAUAUACUAGUGAAAGUUUUGAUAACCCACAUACUUUACUUCUAAAAAAAUAAUCUUGCAAACAAUGAAAAUAUUUGGUAGUUAGAUAUUGACCACAUAUGUGGGAAAAUGGAGUUAUUUUCCUCACUAGAUGAAAUGGUCAAAUCUAUUGUGAAGUUAAGAAAUAAUAAAAAUAUUCCAAUUUUGGGGAAAAGGAAAAAUUGUUAUCAGAUUAAAAGAUGGCUCUUAGAAUUUCAUCUUUAAUGUUUUCUACGAUUUUGAUCUUCACCAAAACUUGUUGAGUAUAAGAAAAUUAUCAGAAAGAGGCUAUAACAUGCAAAUUAGUAAUGACUAUUAUACAUUGAUUGAUAAAAAUAAGAGAUUCAUCGUUAAGGUAAAAUUGACUUAUAAUCGCUUGUUUCCUUUGAAAGGUCAACAUAGAGAACUAUCCCACUUAAGUUCUUUCAUACCAAAUGAUAAUUAUGUCACAUGCGCUUUGGACAUGAUCACUUUUCUAGAUUAAAUUCUUUUAUCUAGAAAAGAAUAUGUAUUUGGAUUGCCUGUUAUAAAAAUUCUUGAAAGUGUUUGUGAGACAAGUGAAAUUGGAAAUAUGUAUAAAGAAUAUUUUUCAACCGGAAUAUUAUGGAGAGCAAGAAAUCCAUUAGAGAUACUGAUCCAUGGCGGUAGUAGGUAUUUCAAUACUUUCAUUGAUGACUUCAGUAGAAAAUCUUGGAUAUAUUUCUUUAUAUAGAAAUCAAAAGAAUGUGAUGCCUUUUAGUCAUUUAAGGCAUUUGUGGAGAAAUAAAGUGGCUGCAAGAUUAAAGACUAAGGAUAGAUAGAGGCAAAAAUAUCUUGCUUGUGUAAAUUUCUUUCACCAACAUGGGAUUUAACAUCAAUUGCAUGCUUAAAGUUAAAUAAUUACCUAAAGAAUUUUGGGUAGGAGCAGUUCCUAUUGUUGUGUAUAUUCUUAAUAAGUGUCCAACUUUGUGAUAAGACACUAGAAGAAACUUGAAGUGGAAGGAAGCCCUCAAUACGACAUCUCAAAAUUUUUUGAUGUAUAACAUAUAUCCAUGUACUAGACUAAAUCAGAAAGAAACUUGAUGACAAAGGAGAGAAGUGCAUCUUGUCAACAUCCAAUUUUAUCCGAAUUGAUUGAAAAAUAAGUCUCUUUUUAUUUUAUCUUAUUUUAUUUUAUCUUUAUAUUGUUUUAGUUCUUUAGUUUACUUUAUUAUAUUAUUAUUAUUUUUAGUUGUUAUUCUUUUUGUUUUACUUUAUUAUUAUGUUAUUUUAUUUCAUUUUAUAUUAUUAUUUUAUAUUUUACUAUGUGUACAGUAUUAUUUCGUUUUAUAUUAGUAUUUUAAUAUUAGUUUAAUUUAGUGUAUUUUAUUUAGUCUCUUAUUUAAAAAAAAUAAAAGAAAGAAUCGAAAUUUAAAAAAAAGGAAAAAAAAGAAAAAAAGAGAAAACAAAACAAAAAAAAAGGGGUGAUAAGCUGUUGCAUUUGUCCGUUCUUCUCUGUUUCCAAUACUACCGACCAUUUUGUAAAUCAAAUCUUUUUCUAUCAAAGUGUGUCACCCAAUUUUGAGUAGAAAUCUUUAGCUCGAGGUUUCAAGCCUAAAUUAUUUUAGCUAAUUCCCUUAAGAAGAAAAAGAAACAAAACAAAAAUGGAACACCAUCAAGUUUCUCCAUGACAGUAUUUUCCUUUCCAUCACGCUAUCGUCCAGUUCUGGUACAAAUUUUCUGCUACCACGCUAUCUCCCAUUUUGGUGCAAAUCUUCUGCUGCUCCAGGCACCUACACUGUCUAGGGGACCUCCAAGAGCAUCCAUCAUUCACUCACAUACUACGCAACUCUCUCUAUCCGCUCUCUACUCACUCAACAGAGACCCCCAAUUACUCAACUCCAACAGUUCACCAUCAUUCUGAUUUUCCCUCACAGGCAGCACCAUCCUCCCGCACACAUGCACAAUCCUCUAUCCCAUUAUUUCCUUUUUCAAGCUGAGACACCAUCCAUUACACACACCUGCAUCCUCCUUUCACCUACAAAGAAACAAAAGAAAGCCAGCCAAAAGAGGGGAGAGUUCGCCGGAUAUAGGAAGCUGACAAAGGUCACCGGAGCUCCAGGAGGUAAGGUUACCUUACUCACCCGCGUAGGCAUGUAGGCUUGUUCAAAUAUACUAUGUUUACUUCCCGUUAUGCUUAGCAUUGCUUUACUUGAGUUUGGAUUGCUAUGUGAAUAUCCCUGUUCGUCAUCAUCGUCUAAUGCACGACUACCAUCUUCUAUAAUCCAAUUAUUAGUCGCGUGUUUGUCUUUGACCGGCAUCACCACUACCAUCCCAUAUCUUCCUUUUGAGUGCUAUUGCAGCCGAAAUGGUUAUACAUUGUUUCUAUUAUUCGUGUUCAUAGAACCUGCAAGAAGACAUAAUACAUCAAGCCAACUGCGACAACCCCCUUUUUUUUUUUUUGAGUUUUUAGCUUAACUAUGACCCAAGUACUUUGUAGUUUCUAGGAAACCCAUGCCUGGGUUCCUCUUCAUCACCCCGAAUUGUCGGAUGGCUUAAGGUAUGAGUUCACUGUGAAUAUCUUCAUUUUCAUCCUUCUCCCUGUUCCUAGUACCCUGCAGUAAAACAAAAGACAAAGCAAACAAAAACCAACCAGUAUUCCAGCCCAAACCCCUCACCCUUUCCCCCAUUGAUCUCGGCAGCGAGACACUCAAAUUCAUUGUUCUCCCCCCUACACCUUCACUGUCCAGCUUUCCCAGGGGAAACACGCACAAAAUCAUACUCCAAAUCACUGCUAAGCAAUUCUACCUCCCUGGGUGACCAAGUCGAAGACGAAAGUGAAGUGGCGUGGUGUAUUUGGAAAACAUGAUCUCGGGAACGGAGAAGGGAGGUCGGAAAGGGCUUAACUUGUGGAGAGGCGCGGUGAUGGAGUGAACGAAGGUGUCUUCGCGACGACUCUGGAAGUCGACGAUCUGGGCGGCGACUGAGCGAAUCACAGACGGCGAGGGCGCCUUCUUCUUGCGCGCAGAAGUGAGUGGGAGAGGGCUGGACGUCGCGGCUGGCGAUAGUCGCCGGAGACGCUUUGGACGGUGGCGUCUGCUACCGCCGGCGACGGUUUGGACGGAGCCGGGAACCGUCGCGGUGGCUGGAUUCGAAGAAGUGGUGGCGCGGUGGCGUAACCCUGAGCUGUGCGAGAGGAGAGAAGGAGAUUAACGCCAUGGCCCGCGUUGACUCCGGUGGGAUGUGGCGUCGCCGGCGAUCCGUGGAGAUGGAGUCGAGUGGUGGAGAUGGUGGCCUUGGGAUCUGCCGGCGGUGAUGGAAGGCUGCUGGUGUCAGAGAGGGAGAGAGCCCUAGGGUCGUGGGGCCAAACCCAAAAGCAAAAGUCUUCAUUCGCCACCCCCGUCUCUGCUAAUUGGCGCCGCAUUUGCAAUGGGCUUGAGCCUAUUCGACAAUAACAAUAAAAAUCUUACCUUUCUGCAUCAAAUAAAACAAAAACACUUCUCCUCUGCACCCCCUGCGUUUACUAAGCCACACUCCUUUCCGAUUGGGCUUAGGCCCAAUCUGCUAUAUAAAAAAACCCUUCUUCCGCACCCCUGGUUUCACUGGCACCACUCCUUUCUGUUUGGGCUUAGGCCCAGUUCGUUUUUAAAAGAAAAAAUAGUUUAGAUAGUUUUUUUUUUAUUUAAGCACCUUUACAACUUCUUUCGUUUACUUUGUUGUUAUUUAUUUCAUUUUAUCUUUUUAUUUUUAUUUUAUUUCCAUUUUUUAUCUUUUGACUCUAUUUCUAUUUUUAAUUUUUUUCUCCCGUUUUAUUUUAAAUAUUUAUCUACUUUUUUAAAAUAUAAAUAUGAAAAACAACAAAAAAUGUUUUAAAGGUUUAAGCGUGUGUGUGAUCGUUUGUAUCGUCCUCGUGCUAAGAUUUUUUUUUUUUUUAUAAAAAAUAUCAAAAAAUGUUUUAAAGGUUUAAGCGCAUGUGUGAUCGCUCGCAUCGUCCUCCUAUUGAGACUUUUUCUUCUUUUAAGGAAAAAAAUAAAAAAAAUGUUUUAAAGGUUUAGGCGCGUGUGUGAUUGCUUGCAUCGUCCUCGUGUCGAAGCCUCUUCUUCCUUUAUAAAAAAUAAAAAAUAAUUAAAAAAACGUUUUAAAGGUUUAAGCGAGUGUGUGAUCGCUCGCAUCGUCCUCGUGCUGAGACCUUUUCUUUUUCUCAUAUAAAAUACCAAAAACAUAAAACAUCCAUGAUUUCAAACAAAUAAACAAUCUUUUAGCUAGAACUACGUAAUCCUGAUUUCUCAGUCUGAUUGAGAAUACGUAGCAGCAAGGUCAAUCCUUGUCGGGCACAAAAAAAUAAAAAUGAAACUAUAUUUUUUGUUUCUUUAGAUUGUCGUUUUUGGGGAUAGUUAAACAUUUUGUAAACCAUAUCACAUUUGUGUAUUUAAUUAAAGGUACUGCCUUAGGGUAGGCGUUGUAGGGUGCUAAUACCUUCCCUACACGUAACCGACUCUCGAACCCAAUCUUUGGUUUUUGUGGACCAUGCCUUAUCAUUUUAUGGUUUUUUCGUAGUUUUCCAGAAUAAACUAUGGUGGCAACUCCAAAACUUUUUCUAAACUCGUCUUUUUUAUGGGAUCGUUGUCCCGUCGCGAUUUCGGUUACGACGGAUGGCGACUCCACUGGGGACAAUUUAAGAGUCGGGCCAUUUAAUUAGAUGCGCGAAUUCGAUGUGGUUUUGCUUUAUGUUUUUCUUUCCUUUUUCUUUAUCUAUGUUUGAAAUAAUUGCAAUAAUUGUUGUAUAUUGAACCCUAGGGUAAAAAACAUGUUUAUAUCUGCUUGGGAUUUUUCUGGUUGUUUUGCAGGUGAGGGUUUGGGUGUGCAUGGCAUUCUCCCUUCACACACACACUUUCGGCAUAUCAUGAAUGGGACUCUAUACCCGGGUCUGAGUGUAGCCUAGAAAUAUAGAGGUUGUGUAGCGGUGUCAUUUGGGAUAUUCUUCCUGUUUGGCUAUCGUGAGAACCCCAGCUAGAGUCUGUUCUCUUCAUUUGUCUCUUUACAUCUAGUUGAUUACUCGACUGUUGUGGAGAUGCUGUGGAAAGGGUCAUAGCUCUAGUGACCAUUGACCUUUAGGUUCAGGGAACCGUCCUUGUGAGAUUGCAUAUACUUGACCUUGAAUCCGAAGCAGUGAACCUUUAUUAGAACACGAAGGGAGAAGUGUGUAUCCCUCUAAUCCUCAGGCUGUUUGUUCUCUUUGAAAAUAAUAACAUUACAUUUUCAUACCAUGCAUGUAUUUUGCUAAUCAUGUUAUAUUAUCAUGCAUCAUGUUCAUGUAUCAUUUAGUAACAUGCUGGUUUUAAGGGAAAUCACAGGUGUUCAUUUGAUUGCAUACAGAAUGGACAUUGAUACAAGAUCUGGCGCUACACAACAUACUAACUCUGCCGUUUUAAGGAAGAAACCUAGCUUAAGGACCUUUGGUAGAAAUUUGACUAGGCUGAUAAGCUUGGGUAAAAGAUUCAAAACCAUAAAAAAGGAGACUUUUAAGAAGAAAUACGGAAAUCUAUUGAGCUUAAUGGAAGUGGAAGUACAAUUGCCCGCCAUCACAGCUCUUGCCCAAUAUUAUGACUCUCCACUAAGAUGCUUCACUUUUCGAGAUUUCUAGUUGGCGCCAACCAUAGAAGAGUUUGAAUAUAUCUUGGGUUUACCACUAGAGGGCACCACGCCAUAUCAACAUUUGGAGCAUCACGCUUUUAUACCUACCAUUGCUGCCAUCAUGAAGUUACAUCCCAAAGAGCUUGAAGAUAGGAUGGUGACGAGGCAUCAAAUGCAUGGGUUGACACAAGAAUAUCUAGAACAAUAUUUGCAACAUCUGGCUGAUAAGGAGGACUGGGAGACUUUCAUGGAUGUGCUAGCUCUUACUGUGUAUGGCAUUGUGUUAUUCCCCAAAAUUGAAGACUUCGUGGACCCUAUUGCAAUAGACGUCUUUGUGGCAAGAAAGAUGAGGUCAGAGAAUCCUAUGACAGCGAUCCUUGCUGAUGUUUAUGGGACUAUGAGUUUCUGUCACGAGAGGAAAGGAAAAAAAAUUCUUUGUUGUUUGCCUGCGUUGUAUGCAUGGAUGACUACACGUGUAUGUAAAGGGGCAGUUGAUGUUAAAAGUCCAUCUGAAAACUUGUCACACCAAGGGCUCAAGGGCAAAGGAGGUAAUGAGUGGGCCCAAUUCUUUGCUGGUUUGAGCGAAGGGAAUAUAAAGUGGCGCCUUCCUUGGCUUGGAAUUAAACCGUCUAUACAGCAUUGUGGCAACUUUCCCAAUGUGCCUCUCAUAGGUGCCCGAUAUUGCAUCGAUUACAAUCCUCUGUUAGUUCAAAGACAAUUUGGGCAUCCUAUGAAAUGGGCACCUUCACCGGACUAUCUUGUAGCCCUAUUCAUCUACUAUGAAGAUGGGCAAUUCAUUGAAUUGUUGAGAAAGGUUAGAAGCGCUUGGGAGAGCGUAGUGAGGGCAGGAAAGGAUCAAAGGUUGGGAGUAGUGGACAACAAAGUUACUUAUCGUACAUGGAUCCUAGAAAGGGUAAAAGAAGUUAAACUUCCUUUCAGACCCAUCAACGAUUAGCUCGUUAAUGAAGGACCUUCCUAAAACAAAGAGAGUGAAGAGAUGAAACAAUUAAAGGCAGAGAUGGAAUGACUAAGGGAAAGAAAUGCUAGAUUGGAAAAAGAACUGCAAAGUGCACGCAAUGAUUUCGUUGAUAUAAGGAAUGAUAAGGAAGAAAAAACUCGCGCCUAUGAAGAAGUUCUUAGAAGUUAGAGGACUGAAAGAGAUUAUACGUUCCGGUUGAAGCAAGACCUCGCAGCCGCAAAUAAAGAGUUAGCAAUGAGGGUGAAAGAGAAAAAUGCGGUGUUGGAAGAAGGAAAGCAAUGGAAGCAUCUCUAUGAAGAAGCCAAGAGAGAUAAGCGGGAGGCCCUGAAAAGAUUAAAAGAAGCACAAGUUCAGGUAGAAAAGGUGGGGCAGCAAAUGAAAGAAAUGGCUACUUCGUUUGAGGCCGAUAUGAACCGUGAUCGCUGGAAGCUAGCGGAAGCAGAAAAGGAUCAUCAGACCAUGAUGCAACAAAUGGAGAGUUAUAUUGAGGAACAAGAAGAGGAAUGGAGGUCAAUGGAGUUCGAAGAAAGGCAUCAGACCUUGGUAAGACGAAUGGAGGACCACAUUGCAGAGCAAGAACAAGCUGUGAAACAUAGGAAAGAAAGUUUCUCCCAAUUAGCUGCUUUGGCAAAUGGAGCGAUAGAAGAUAUUCCUAAGAUGGUAUUGGACGCAGAAGCGAGCACUCAUUUUUGUAGCCCACCAGCAGAGAUAGAACUUUUUAUUAAUCAUUGUAAUAAAAAGUUCUAUCUGUGCUGGUGGGCUACAAAAAUGAGUGCUCGCUUCGGCGUCCAACACUAUCUUAGGAAUAUCUUAUAUCGCUCCAUUUGCUAAGGCAGCUAAUUGGGAGAAACUUUCUUUCCAAUGUUUCACAGCUUGUUCUUACUCUGCAAUGUGGUCCUCCAUUCGUCUUACCAAGGCCUGAUGCCUUUCUUCGAACUCCAUUGACCUCCAUCGCUCUUCUUGUUCCUCAAUAUAACUCUCCAUUUGUUGCAUCAUGGCCCGAUGACCCUUUUCUGCUUUCGCUAGCUUCCAGCGAUCAUGGUUCAUAUCGGCCUCAAACGAAGUAGCCAUUUCUUUCAUCUGGUGCCCCACCUUUUCUACCUGAACUUGUGCUUCUCUUAAUCUUUUCAGGGCCUCCCGCUUAUCUCUCUUGGCUUCUUCAUAGAGAUGCUUCUAUUGCUUUCCUUCUUCCAGCGUCGCAUUUUUCUCUUUCACCCUCAUUGCUAACUCUUUAUUUGCGGCUGCGAGGUCUUGCUUCAAUCGGAACGUAUAAUCUCUUUCAGCCCUUUGACUUCUAAGAACUUCUUCAUAGGCGCAAAUUUUUUCCUCCUUAUCAUUCCUUAUAUCAAUGAAAUCAUUGCGCGCACUUUGUAGUUCUUUUUCCAAUCUAGCAUUUCUUUCCCUCAGCCUUUCCAUCUCUGCCUUUAAUUGUUUCAUCUCUUCACUCUCUUGGUUUUGGGAAGGUCCUUCAUUAGCGGGCUGAUCGUUGAUGGGUCUGAAAGGGAGUUUAAUUUCUUUUACCCUUUCUAGGAUCGAUGUACGAUAAGUAACUUCGUUGUCCACUACUCCCAACCUUUGAUCCUUUUCUUCCCUCACUACGCUCUCCCAAGUGCUUCUAACCUUUCUCAACAUUUCAAUGAACUGCCCAUCUUCAUAGUAAAUGAAUAGGGCUACAAGAUAGUCCGAUGAAGGUGCCCCUUUCAUAGGAUGUCCAAAUUGUCUUUGAACUAACAGAGGAUUGUAAUCGAUGCAAUAUCGGGCACCUAUGAGAGGCACAUUGGGAAAGCUGCCACAAUGUUGUAUAGACGGUUUAAUUCCAAGCCAAGGAAGGCGUCACUUUAUAUUCCCUUCGCUCAAACCAGCAAAGAAUUGGGCCCACUCAUUACCUCCUUUGCCCUCAAGCCCUUGGUGUGACAAGUUUUCAUAUGGACUUCUAACAUCAACUGUCCCUUUAAAUACGCGUGCAGUCAUCCAUGCAUACAACGCAGGCAAACAACAAAGAAUUUUUUUUCCUUUCCUCUCGUGACAGAAACUCAUAGUCCCAUAAACAUCAGCAAGGAUCGCUAUCAGAGGAUUCUCUGACCUCAUCUUUCUUGCCACAAAGACGUCUAUUGCAAUAGGGUCCACGAAGUCUUCAAUUUUGGGGAAUAACACAAUGCCAUACACAGUAAGAGCUAGCACAUCCAUGAAAGUCUCCCAGUCCUCCUUAUCAGCCAGAUGUUGCAAAUAUUGUUCUAGAUAUUCUUGUGUCAACCCAUGCAUUUGAUGCCUCGUCACCAUCCUAUCUUCAAGCUCUUUGGGAUGUAACUUCAUGAUGGCGGCAAUGGUAGGUAUAGAAGCGUGAUGCUCCAAAUGCUGAUAUGGCGUAGUGUCGUCUAGUGGUAAACCAAGAUAUAUUCAAACUCUUCUAUGGUUGGCGCCAACUGGAAAUCUCGAAAAGUGAAGCAUCUUAGUGGAGAGUCAUAAUAUUGGGCAAGAGUUGUGACGGCGGGAAACUGUACUUCCACUUCCAUUAAGCUCAAUAGAUUUCCGUAUUUCUUCUUGAAAGUCUCCCGUUUUAUGGUUUUGAGUCUUUUACCCAAGCUUAUCAGCUCAAUCAAAUUUGAAUCUCACUAUCAGAGAACAAUACACAGAGCACAAGCACAUCACAGGAAGAGGUCACUGAGGAUAUCAUCACCACUUGUCUAAGGGAACCA
rnacentral:lncRNA from 1 species